rnacentral:rRNA from 1 species
GAUGAACGCUAGCGAUAGGCUUAACACAUGCAAGUCGAGGGGCAGCACAAGGUAGCUUGCUAUCUGGGUGGCGACCGGCGCACGGGUGCGUAACGCGUAUGCAACUUGCCCUAUACAGGAGGAUAACCCGUCGAAAGACGGACUAAUACUGCGUAUGCUCACAACUUGGCAUCAAGUGGUGAGGAAAGAAAUUCGGUAUAGGAUAGGCAUGCGCCCCAUUAGCUUGUUGGUGAGGUAACGGCUCACCAAGGCAACGAUGGGUAGGGGAACUGAGAGGUGUAUCCCCCACACUGGUACUGGGACACGGACCAGACGCCUACGGGAGGGAGCAGUGAGGAAUAUUGGUCAAUGGGCGCGAGCCUGAACCAGCCAAGUCGCGUGAAGGAGGACUGUCUUAUGGAUUGUAAACUUCUUUUAUACGGGAAUAACAAGAGUCACGUGUGACUCCCUGCAGGUACCGGAUGAAUAAGCAUCGGCUAACUCCGUG